UACGGGGGGAGCAAGCGUUGUUCGGAUUUACUGGGCGUAAAGGGCGCGUAGGCGGCCACCGCAAGUCAAUUGUGAAAUCUCCGGGCUUAACUCGGAAAGGUCAACUGAUACUGCGGGGCUAGAGUGCGGAAGGGGCAACUGGAAUUCUCGGUGUAGCGGUGAAAUGCGUAGAUAUCAGGAGGAACACCGGUGGCGAAGGCGGGUCUCUGGGCCGAAAUUGACGCUGAGGAGCGAAAGCGUGGGGAGCGAACAGG
rnacentral:rRNA from 1 species